ensembl:misc_RNA 7SK 7SK RNA
GGGUGAUCUGGCUUCAACAUCUACCACCCAUUGAUCACCAGGGUUGAUUCAGCUGAUGUCUGGCUAUACAGGUGUCCCUUUCCUCCAGUGUUCCAUGUGUAACCCUCCUGAAGUUGAAAACUUGGUUGGAGAGGAUGACCUUCCCUGAUAGAAGAGGACCAUUCUUUAAUCAAGGGUGUUCAAGUAGCUCUCUAAGCUCUCAAGGUAAAGGUCUCACCUGCACUGUCAGUCUUAUAGUCAAUCAUAAUGUAUCAACACAUAAAGAAACUAAUAGCUAUAAAAAUUGUUGAAGAGGCUGACAUUU